AAGAUGAGGCCUUGCUAUAUUGCCCAGGCUGGUCCCAAACUCCUGGCCUCAAGCAGUCCUUUCUCCUAGGCUCCCCAAAGUGCUGGGAUUACAGGAAUGAGCCACGGCACCUGGCCACAAACUUUAUCUCCUCCCGUGUAUGUUUUAACUUCUGUGAUCCCUGUAGCCGAUCAUAUGUGCUGUUAAUGGAAUUAAUAAUUCACCUAAAUGUGGGCAAAAGUAUGCCCUCCAAAAAGCAGCAUAGAAAUGGAACACGAAAGGGAAACAUUUCCAUGGUAGCGCAUGGAAAUUUCAUUAACCAAAUUAAAUUGUUUUAUUUAUAAACAGCUUAUUACCUACAAGUGAUGCACAUAUGUG
rnacentral:lncRNA from 1 species